CGGAAAAAAUGGGGUAGACGAAUCAUUUAUCUUUCUCAUUUUCUCUCCCCGUUCUCCACAAAAGAGUCCCACUGUUUCUCUCUGCAUUUCGGCAUAUCUUUUCGCUUUCCAGUACCCAUCAAUAUAUUCUAAUCACUAUCGCAGAUAAGGAAAGAUGAACACAUAUAUCGCACUAUCAACGAAAACACCCAGUGAUAAAUUCACCAGGUUCAAAUUAUAUGUUGAGAUGAAAGAUGGUGUGAGGACGGAGGACUUAUGAUAUUUUUUAGGUGUUACAAAGUAUUGGGAUUUAACUAGAAAAGCUAAGAAUCAUAAUGGUUGGAUCGAGUUUGCUGGAAUUCCUAAAAGGUGCGGAGCUGUGGAAUUUAUUUGUAUGUCAUGUUGAGACGUCCAUAGUGUUUGUGGAACACACAAAUGAAAACUUUUGAAGGACAUUUCCUCGGAUUAGAUACGGGAAAAGGUUUGCUUCACAAAAUUUAUAGGUACAGUUUGCUCAGUGGUGAUGACUCUAUAAUCUGAGGUGGUAACACAUGAAGUGUACUAUGGUGCAAAUGGCUCAAAUGAUGAUUUCUCCAGCAUCAUGUCUCGCACAUUAAUAGUCGAGGUCACUGGAAAUGAUGGAUCUAUCUCUACCUUAAACUCCUCUGCCUUUCCAUGUUGAGGAACCUUCUGAGGUUUAAUUUGGUUGCUCCAGAAACAUUUGUGAAACUUUACUACAUGUAUAAUGGAUAUGGCGAAGGAGGAAAUAUUUUUGGAUCAAUGGGUGGACCUAACAAUAUCAUCUUGGCAGGUACAGGUAGCGUCAUAGAAAUACAGUUCGCCUCGCCAAUUUUAAAUAUGAAUAUUGUAUGGAAUUGUGUCAUACGUUUCAAUACUACAAGUUUAGAGAGCUGGUGCAUACCUUCAUUUUUCAAUACUGAGCCUACUGGGAAUAGAUAGAAAACUUUAUAUGAUUUCGUAUAGAUGUUCUUACUAUUGCAUUCAUUUAGUUCCGAUCAUUACAUUGCUUUUGAAGUAUUAUUGCGAAGACAUUUGCUUUGGUUUGUCUCAUUUUUUCAAGUUGCAAGUAAAUUAUUAUCUUCUCAUGGAAAUUAAGUAUAGCACUUGGAUCUAUCUAUUUGAAUUUUGAGGUGAUUGUUAGGAGAUAUCAGUUGUCCAAUUUUGUUAGAAUUGUUAGCAUAAUAAUUUUAUAAAAGCAUAUUAUCUUGGUUGAAAUGGUUUUUAUUUAAACGGCAGACAAAUGCAAUAUGCAACAUCAUCCAUGACUUUUGCAUCAUCCAUGACGACUCGCCAAAUAUUGCCUAUGAGAACAAAUUUGAAUGGGAGUGCUCCACUUUGGUAAUGUACAAAGCCACAUGUUUUCCUUUUAGGUCUGAAUAAAACAAAGUUAUGAAGCUACCGACUACGCCUAUUUAAUAUUACCAGUUAUUUUGGUUUCAUAUUUUUGGUUUGGCUUUUAUUUUAUAGUUCAAGGGAAUCAUAAAAAAUUACUAAUAUACAAGCUGUAGCAUACAGAUUCCUAUUGGCAUGGAGCAACAACUGUGGAUUCGUUACAGGUUACCUUGAAUAAGAUAUUGGCUCCAUACAAUGAUGCAGUGCUUCCUUUUGGUUCCCAUGGUUGAUGUUUAUUUUCAUUUCUCUUGCGAUGUUUUGUUCUCAUUGGAACUUUCAUGUGCGACCAGUGGGGGUUGCAAGUAUAUUUGUAAUGAUGACGAUACUGGCAACUCAGGGUUAGAGAAAAAACCACAAGAUAAUGUUAAAAUUGAGGAAUUUGUUUUAGAUUUUGUUGAAUUGGAUUAUUAAGGGAGUCAUUCAUAUAUCCCUUUUCCCGCAAUUUUUUUUCCAAAACAACAAAAGUAACACGCUGACAUGUAUUACACAUUUAAUUGUAUAUGAAUGAAUGAAAGAUGCUCAAUUAACUUAUGGAUUUAUAUGUAAGUGGGUAAAUUUUAUUGUUCAUCA